GACGAACGCUGGCGGCGUGCUUAACACAUGCAAGUCGUACGGUAAGGCCCUUUCGGGGGUACACGAGUGGCGAACGGGUGAGUAACACGUGAGUAACCUGCCCACAACUUUGGGAUAACGCUAGGAAACUGGUGCUAAUACUGGAUAUGUGCUCCUGCUGCAUGGUGGGGGUUGGAAAGCUCCGGCGGUUGUGGAUGGACUCGCGGCCUAUCAGCUUGUUGGUGGGGUAGUGGCCUACCAAGGCGGCGACGGGUAGCCGGCCUGAGGGGGUGACCGGCCACAUUGGGACUGAGAUACGGCCCAGACUCCUACGGGAGGCAGCAGUGGGGAAUAUUGCACAAUGGGCGCGAGCCUGAUGCAGCAACGCCGCGUGCGGGAUGACGGCCUUCGGGUUGUAAACCGCUUUCAGCAGGGACGAAGCUUUUUGUGACGGUACCUGCAGAAGAAGCACCGGCUAACUACGUG
rnacentral:rRNA from 1 species